UACGUAGGGGGCAAGCGUUGUCCGGAAUCAUUGGGCGUAAAGAGCGUGUAGGCGGCCCGGUAAGUCCGCUGUGAAAGUCCAGGGCUAAACCCUGGGAUGCCGGUGGAUACUGUCGGGCUCGAGUCCGGAAGAGGAGUGUGGAAUUCCUGGUGUAGCGGUGAAAUGCGCAGAUAUCAGGAGGAACACCAAUGGCGAAGGCAGCACUCUGGGACGUGACUGACGCUGAGACGCGAAAGCGUGGGGAGCAAACAGG
rnacentral:rRNA from 1 species